GAAGGUGUUGUUGUUGGUUUCUA
rnacentral:siRNA from 1 species